UCAAGUAUACCCAAAACCCCUAGAUUCAUCUUUAAAGGAUGUACGGUCAAGGAGGCGAAGCUGAUCCACCUUCAUAUGGGGGUGGUCAUGGUGGUUAUGGAGGGGACGCUGGUUACGGUGGCCGUGGUUGCGGCAGAGGGGGAGGUGGUGGUUACGGUCGCAGUUCUCAAAAUCGCGGAGGCGGUGGAGGCUAUCAAGGAGGAGACCGUGGUGGAAGAGGUGGCGGUGGAAGAGGUGGUGGCCGUGGAGGAGGCAGAGAUGGUGAUUGGCUUUGCCCGAACCCCAGCUGUGGGAACUUGAACUUUGCAAGAAGAGUUGAGUGUAACAAAUGCGGUGCAUCCUCUCCUGUGGGUUCCGGUGAUCGUGGUAGUAGUGGAUACAACAGAGGAGGUGGUGGUGGGGUAUAUGAUGCUAAUCGUGGUGGUAGAGGAGAUGGGGUGAGAGGUGGAUAUGAUAUUGGGAGGAGUAACAACUAUGGAGGCAGAGGGGGAAAUUAUGAUAAUAAAAGUGGUGGUGGUAGAAGUGGUUCCUAUGGAGGUAGUCAAGGCGGGGAAGAUGGUGGGUAUGGUCAUGUUCCUCCUUCGGCGCCCAGUUCUUAUAGUGGCGGUGCUGGUGGAAGUUACUCACCACCUCCUAAUGCAUAUGAUGGGAAUACAAAUUCUGGAAUGGGUUCAGUUCCUCCACCUACAAGCUAUACUGGUGGACCAACAUCAUACCCUCCGUCUUAUGGAGGACCUGCAGGUGGUUAUGGUGAUGAGGGUUUGAAUGAUGCAAGGACCGGUGGUUGGGGUGGACAUCCUGGUGGAUGUGACAGUGAUUAUGUGUCUGGUGGUCCUCGACAUCAGGGAGGUGGUUGUGGUGGUCCUUUUGAUGCUCCAGGUAAGAUCAAGCAGUGUGAUGACAACUGCAGGGAUUCUUGUGACAAUACCAGAAUCUACAUAUCAAGUUUGCCACCUGAUGCUACUAUUGAAGAAUUAAGAGACCUUUUUGGCGGAAUUGGACAAGUUGGAAGAAUUAAGCAGAAGCGUGGCUAUAAAGAUCAGUGGCCAUGGAACAUAAAAAUAUACACUGAUGAGAAAGGAAAUCCAAAAGGUGACGCGGUUUUGACUUAUGAAGAUCCUCAAGCUGCACACUCUGCUGGCGGUUUCUUUAACAAUCAUGUCAUGAGAGGCUAUACAAUUAGUGUGGCAAUGGCUGAGAAGACUGCCCCUAAAGUAUAUGAUUAUGGAGGCGGUAGAGGUGGCUAUGGCGGUGGUGGUGGCCGUGGGGACAGGCACAGGGAUGGAGGUUCUGGGCCACAUAGACAUCACUAUGGUGGAAACCGUUCACGUCCAUACUGAGAAACUUUCAGCUUCGAGUAUUUUAUGUACUAAGAAUUAUGAUCUAAGGGUUGUAGUUUGUCCCCAUUCACAGGGUUGUUCUUGAACAGGAGACCGAGAGAAGCAAGUGGAAUAACUUCAAAUUGCUUCCUGCUAAGGUAGGUUGAUAAUUUCAGGUGAGUGCUGCUCUUUCAAAUCACAUAUAUACCCUUUUAUUUGGGUAUAACCCCUUGGUGGGGGAUUUGAUUUUGUUGCUCUUCUGCCCAUCAUUUAAUGCGGUGAAACAAACUUGUGAAUUAUAUAAGCAUGUGCUUGCUGUUAUAUACGAGGGUUUUGCCUCCCAUUCUGGGAAGUAGUUUAUAUUAGCCACUUUUGAAAAUUUGAAUUCAUUAAAUGUUGGACAAUUGAAGAAACAGAUUUGGAGCAAUGUAUGACAGCAUAUACUGAUCAC